UACGUAGGUGGCAAGCGUUGUCCGGAUUUACUGGGCGUAAAGGGCGUGCAGGCGGUCUGUUAAGUGCAGGGUGAAAGCUCCCGGCUCAACUGGGAGAGGUCCUUGCAUACUGGCGGACUUGAGGGGGGUAGAGGAAAGUGGAAUUCCCGGUGUAGUGGUGAUAUGCGUAGAUAUCGGGAGGAACACCAGUGGCGAAGGCGGCCCGCUGGGCAGUGGCUGACGCUGAGGCGCGACAGCGUGGGGAGCAAACAGG
rnacentral:rRNA from 1 species